rnacentral:rRNA from 1 species
UACAGAGGUCUCAAGCGUUGUUCGGAAUCAUUGGGCGUAAAGGGUGCGUAGGCGGCGCGGUAAGUCGGGUGUGAAAUCUCGGAGCUUAACUCCGAAACUGCAUUCGAUACUGCCGUGCUUGAGGACUGGAGAGGAGACUGGAAUUUACGGUGUAGCGGUGAAAUGCGUAGAUAUCGUAAGGAAGACCAGUGGCGAAGGCGGGUCUCUGGACAGUUCCUGACGCUGAGGCACGAAAGUCAGGGGAGCAAACAGG